UUCACGAUCAUUUCUUGAUCAUUAUUAUUCACGUCCAUUUAUGCAUAGAUAACCGCCCUCUUAAUCUUGUACUCGCAAGUUAGCGACUCAAAUAAAUGCUUAAUUGCUUGCUGCAGCUUCACCACUUAACCAUACCUCACCCAUUAAGCUGUGCUAGUCUUGAUACCUUUGGAAAUGAGAUUGCUGAGUCCGUGUGGAUCACAAAUCACAACAACUACAGUUGCAGGUACAGGUAAAGUGAUACUUUGAUGUAAGAAUCAUGAUUGUUCUAUUUGGAGCUUAUUCUUCUUCUUGUUCAUCGAUCUAGGAUGGGUUCUAGACUGACAGCCUGGGAUAGCAAGAUGGACGUCGUUCUUUUAUUGUUUGCUUUCCUCCGUAGUUGGACCGUGCUCUUCUGACUAGUGAUUGAAUGUAUGUUUGUAUUGAGAUGAUCAUGAUUAGCUUGUGGCGAGUCUAAGCCAAUUCCAUAUACUCAUCUCUUCUGCACAUGUACUUGUAACGAUAUCCAUUCUUGCGAAACGAUGAGAUGCACUUCUAUCCCUGCCGAGGCCCUCACAUCUUGAUCAUUACACUUAUAUCUUUUGAACUUAGUAAUUGCUCUAGUACUUCACUUAUAUCUUUUCGAGCACGGUGGCGUGUAGAUUUUGCAUAAAUAUUAUGAUCUCGUUC
rnacentral:lncRNA from 1 species